AAGGUUUUUUGUUUCUCCAUUUAUGGAGAGUCUAGAUGGAAAGUCACAUCUUUGCAUCCAUUAUCACUGGAGAUUCUAUGAAUAUGCAAAUCAGUUUCCACCCAUACUUACAGCCUGCAGUGCAAUAAAAUCCAAAAGCGGCUGUUUGACUGGUUACUUCAUGCUACACAAUAACCAGAAGUAUAAACUCCAAUGAUUGUAACCGUUAUCUUUGCUGGGCUAUGUUCAGUAUCCUACAGUCUUAGGUUUCAACAUUCAAAGAACAACAAGAUGGAGGGACUCUGAGGGUUUAAAGGUCAGUUUUGAGAUUCCAGAUUGCAUCAAUGUGUUGACUGGUUUGGGUUGUUUUCAUUCAUUAUUAUGAUGCGUUCUGUUUUACAUGGAGUCAUUCAACUUAAGUGCUAAUUGGUCCUCCAUUACAAAAACAAUUUUACUCUCUUCCAUUAAAAGUAUUUUGCAUGGAGCACCAAAAAAAAAAAACAACAAAAAAACAUGCAACACUUCUUAUGAUAUUUAAAUAUGACACACACUCAUUUCAAUUUCAGACAGAAGGUAUAAAUACUGAGUUGACCCCAGUAUCCCCUCCUGGACACCAGGGGUCUUUGUGACUUUUCCUCUCAGUGUCUUGCAGGUAAUGUGAGUGUAAUGAGCUGCACCUGGGCACUGCCCACAGACUGGCCUCUACUGGCCAUGCUGCCAGCCUGCUUUCUGUUCUGUGGAUUAUAUUUCUCUCACAACUGAUUUCUACUUUUUUGCUGCAACUUCAGGAAACUGCAGAGCUGCAAACCCAGCAGGACGUGUCCCCUGUGCUAAAGCUGUCAGGCAGGGAGCUGGUCCGGAGAUGGACUGUGGGACACGAAGGGCUGAGAAGCAAGACGGUCGAAGUUUGUAAGAGACCGAAUAGGAAAACAGAGCAGCAGAAGGAGGGUUCUUAUCACAGUCCUGGACAUUAAUCCUCGUGUGCUUAUUUCCCAGAUAUCCAGUACACCGCUGCUGUGCUGCUCCCUCAAAUUUACAAGCUGAGAAACAGCAGGUGUUGACGACCAGGU